AUGAUAAGAAUACAAUUAGCUUUAGAAGAAACUGCCAAACUGUCUUCCAAAGUGGCUGCACCAUUUUACAUUCCCACCAGCAAUGAGUGAGAGUUCCUGUUGCUCCACAUCCUCAUCAGUAUUUGGUGGUGUUGGUGUUUUGGAUUUUGGCCAUUCUAUUUUUAAUUUUGUAAAUAUUUUUUAAAUUUUUGUGGGUAUAUAUGUGUAUAUAUUUAGGGGUACAUAAGAUGUUUUGAUACAGACAUGUAAUGUGAACUAAGCACAUCAUGGAGAAUGGGGUGUCCACCCCUCAAGCAUUUAUCCUUUGAGUUACUAACAAUCCAAUUACAUUAUUUUAAAAUAUACAAUUGUUGUUAUUGACUAUAGUCACCAUGUUGUGAUAUCAAAUAGUAGGUCUUAUUCAUUCUUUCUAUUUUUUUGUACCUAUUUACCAUCCCCACCUUCCCACACAACCCUCCACUACCAUUUCCAGCCUCUGGUCAUCAAACAUCUGUUCUCCAUGUCCACUAGUUCAACUGUUUUGAUUUUUAGAUCCCACAAAAAAGUGAGAACAUGCAAUGUUUGUCUUUCUGUUCCCGGAUUAUUUCACUUAACAUAAUGACCUCCAGUUCCAUCCAUGUUGUUGUAAAUGAUGGGAUCUCAUGCUUUUUUAUGGCUGAAUAGUACUCCAUUGUGUAUAUGUACCAUAUUUUAUUUAUCCAUUCAUCUGUUGGACAGACACUUGGAUUGCUUCCAAAUCUUGGCUAUUGUAAACAGUGUUGCAAUAAACAGGAGUGCUGAUACCUCUUCCAUACACUGAUUUCCCUUCUUUUGGAGAUUUUAUAUAUAUAUAGUGGGACUGCUGGAUCAUAUGGUAGCUCAAUUUUUAGUUUUUUGAGGAUCUUCCAAGCUGUUCUCCACAGUGGUUGUAGUUAAUUACAUUCCUACCAAUAGUGUACAAGGGUUCCCUUUUCUCCUCAUCCUUGCCAGCAUUUGUUAUUGCCUGUCCCUUGGAUAUAAUCUAUUUUAACUGGCAUAAGAUGAUAUCUCAUUGUAUUAAUAGUUUUGAUUUGCAUUUAUCUGACAUCAGUGGUGCUAAGCACUUUUUCAUAAGCCUGUAUGACAUUUGUAUGUAUGGCUUCUUUUGAGAAAUGUAUAUUCAAAUCUUUUGCCCAUUUUUGAUCAGAUCAUUAGAUUUUUUUCCUGUAGAGUUGUUUGAGCUCCUUAUACACUCUGGUUAUUAAUCCCUUGUCAGAGGAGUAGUUUGCAAAUAUUUUCCCCCAUUCUGUGGAUCGUUUCUUCACUUUAUUGGUUGUUUGCUGUGCAGAAGCUUUUUAACUAAUGUGAUCUCAUUUGUCCAUGUUUGCUUUUGUUGUCUGUGCUUGUGGGGUAUUACUCAAGAAAUCUUUGCCCAGAUCAAUGUCCCGGAGAUGUUCCCCAAUGUUUUCCUGUAGUAGUUUCAUAGUUUGAGGUCUUAGAUUUAAGACUGUAUUUUUUUUAUUUUUGUAUAUGACAAGAGAUACAGGUCUAGUUUCAUUCUUCUGUAUAUGGAGAUUCAGCUUUCCCAGCACCAUUUAUUGAAGAGACUAUCUUUUCCCCAGUAUUUUUGGCACCUUUGUCAAAAAUGAUUUCACUGUAGGUGUGUGGAUUUGUUUCUGGGUUCUCUGUUCUGUUCCAUUGGUCUAUGUGUCUGUUUUUAUGCCAGUACCAUGCUGUUCUGGUUACUAUAGCUCUACAGUAUAAUUUGAAGUCAGGUAAUGUGAUUCCUCCUGUUUUGUUCUUUUCACUUAGGCUAGCUUUGGCUAUUCUGGGUCUCUGUGGUUCCAUAUAAAUUUUAGGAUUGUUUUUUCUAUUUCCGUGAAGAAUGUCUUUGGUAUUUUGAUAGGGAUUUUAUUGAAUCUGUAGACUGCUUUGGGUAGUAUGUACAUUUUACCAAUAUUUAUUCUUCCAAUCCAUGAACAUGGAAUAUUUUUUCAUUUUUUGGCGUCCUCUUCAAUUUCUUUCAUCAGCAUUUUAUAGUUUUCAUUAUGGAGAUUUUUCACUUCUUUGGUUAAGUUCACUCCUAGGUAUUUAAUUUUAUGUGGCCAUGAUAAAUUAGAUUACUUUUUAAAUUUCUUUUUCACAUUGUUUGCUGUUGGCAUAUAGAAAUGCUAUUGAUUUUUGUAUGAUGAUUUGUAUCUUGCAACUGUACUGAAUUUGUUUACCAGUUCUAAUAGUUUCCUUCUGAAGUCUUUAGGUUCUUCCAAAUAUAAGAUCAUAUCAUCAACAAACAAGGAUAAUUUGACUUCUUCCUUUCCAAUUUGGAUAUUCUUUAUAUAUUUCUCUUGUCUGAUUGCUCUAGCUAGGACUUCAGUAUACUAUGUUGAAUAACAGUGGUGACAGUGGGCAUCCUUGUCAUGUUCCAGAUCUUAGAGAAAAGGCUUUCAGUUGUUCCCCAUUCAGUGUGAUACUAGCUGUGGGUCUGUAGUAUAUGGCUUUUAUUAUGUUGACGUAUAUUCCUUCCAUAUCCAGUUUUUUUUUGAAGAUUUUGAUUAUGAAAGGAUGUUGAAUUUCAUCAAAUACUUUUUCAGCAUCAAAUGAAAUAAUCAUAUGGUUUUUAUCCUUCAUUCUUUGGAUAUGAUGUACCAUGUUGAUUGAUUUGCAUAUGUUGAACCAGCCUUACAUCCCAGGGAUAAAUCACAUUUGGUCAUAAUGAAUGAUCUUUCUAACGUAUUGCUGAAUUCAGUUUGCUAGUAUUUUGUGAGGACUUCUGCAUCACUGAUACAUUGUCCAGUAGGUUUCUUUUUGAUAUGUCUUUGUUUUGGUAUCAGGGUAAUACUGGGCCUCAUAGAAAUCUGAGUUUGGAAACAUUCCCUCCUCCUCUAUUUCUUGGAAUAGUUUGAGGAGGAUUGGUAUUAGUUCUUCUUUAAAUGUUUGGCAGAAUUCAGCAGUGAAGCAAUGAGGUCCCAGGCUUUUCUUUACUGGAAGACUUUUCAUUACAGCUUCUAGCUAUGGUAAUAGAGGUUUUUUUUUUUUUUUUUUUUUUUUUUUUUUAGAUGGCGUCUCACUCUGUCACCCAGGCUGGAGGCUACAGUGUAAUGGACAGCAUGAUCUCAGCUCACUGCAACCUCUGCCUCCCAGGUUCAAGUGAUUCUCCUGCCUCAGCCUCCUGAGUUGCUGGAAUUACAGGCAUGUGCCACCACACCCAGCUAGUUUUUGUAUUUUUAGUAGAGAUGGGUUUUCACCAUGUUGGCCAGGCUGGUCUCGAACUCCUGACUUCGUGAUCUGCCCACCUCGACUUCCCAAAGUGCUGGGAUUACAGGCGUGAGCCACCAUACCCGGCCUCAUCCCCCUACUUUUUAACUUUUUGUUGUUUCUAUUUAUAUCUUAUCAUACUAUGUCUUGAAAAGUUGUUGUAGUUAUAAUUUUUUAUUGGUUCAUUGUUUAGUCUUUCUACUUAGGGUAAGAGGAGUCUACACACCCCAGUUACAUUGUCAUAAUACGUCGUGUUUUUCUGUGUACUUACUAUUACCAGUAAGUUUUUUUGCCUUCAGGUGACUAUUUAUUGCUCAUCAAUGUAAUUUUCUUUCUGGUUGAAAUACUCCCUUUAGCAUUUCUUGUAGCAUGGUCCUGGCAUUAAUGAAAUACCUCAGGUUUUGUUUGUCUAGGAAAGUCUUCAUUUCUCCUUCAUGUUUGAAGGAUAUUUUUGCUGGAUAUACUAUUUUAGGGUAAAAGUUCUUUUCCUUCAGCACUUCAAAUAUGUCAUGCUUCUCUCUCCUGGCCUGUAAGGUUUCCACUGAAAAGUCUGCUGCCAGACGUAUUAAAGCCCAACUCUAUGUUAUUUGUUUCUUUUCUCUUGUUGCUUUUAGGAUCCUUUAUCCUUGAUCUUUGGAAGUUUGAUUAUUAAAUGCCUUGAGGUAAUCAUCUUUGGGUUAAACCUGCUUGGUGUUCUAUAACCUUCUGGUUCUUGGAUAUUGAUCUCUUUCUCUGUUAUUAUCCCUUUGAAUAAACCUUCUACCCUUAUCUCUUUCUCUACCUCCUCUGUAAGGUCAAUAACUCUUAGAUUUGCCCCUUUGAGGCUAUUUUCUAGAUCGUGUAGGCAGGCUUCAUUAUUUUGUAUUCUUUUUUCUUUUGUCUCCUGCUUUUUUUUUUUUUAAAUGGAGUCUUGCUCUGUUGCCCAGGCUGGAGCGCAGUCGCACAAUCUCGGCUCACUGUAACCUCCACCUCCUGAGUUCAAGCAAUUCUCCUGCCUCAGCCUCCCGAGUACCUGGGACUACAGGUGCCCACCACCAUGCCCGGCCAAUUUUUUUGUAUUUUUAGUAGAGAUGGGGUUUCACCCUAUUGGCCAUGCUGGUCUCGAACUCCUGACCUUGUGAUCCACCUGCCUUGGCCUCCCCAGAGUGCUGGGAUUACAGGCAUGAGCCACCGCCCCUGGCCUCCUGUGUAUUUUUAAACAGGCUGUCUUCAAGUUCACUAAUUCUUUCUUCUGCUUGAACCAUUUUGCUAUUAAAGGAAGCUGAUGCAUUUUUCAGUAGGCCAAUUGCAUUUUUCAGCCCCAGAAUUUCUGCGAAUCACUUUUUAAUUAUUUCAAGCUGUUAAAUUUAUCUGAUAGAAUUCUGAAUUCCUUAUGUUAUCUUGAAUUUCUUUGAGUUUCCUCAAUUUAGCUAUUUUGAAUUCUCUGUCUGAAAGGUGACAUAUCUGUUUCUCCAGGAUUGGUCCCUGGUGCCUUAUUUAGUUCACUUGGUGGGGUCAUGUUUUCCUGGUUGGUGUUGAUGCUAGCAGAUGUUCUUUGAUGUCUGGGUAUCGAAGUGUUACAUAUUUGUUGUAGUCUUCACUGUCUGAGCUUAUUUGUAGCCAUCCUUCUUGGCAAGGCUUUCGAGUUAUUUGAAAGGACUUGGGUGUUAUGAUCUAAGUCAUUUCUCUUUUACGGAGCACCCCAACCCAGUAACACUGCGGUUCUUGCAGACUUAUAGAGGUACCAGCUUGAUGGUCUUGGAUAAGACACAGAACAAUUCUCUGGAUUACCAGGCAGAGACUCUUGUUCUCUUCCCUUACUUUCUCCCAAAUGCACAGUCUCUGUCUCAAUUCUGAGCCACCUAAAGCCUUCAGGGCAGUGGGCUCCCCUCUGGAACAGGGCAAGCCCAGAAAUGCCAUCCAAGAGUCAAGUCCUAGAACUGGGGACUCAAAGAGCUCACUUGAUGCUUUAACUCCCUGUGGCAGUGUUGGUACCUAAAGCCAGCAAGUCUCAGAGGCUCACCACGGCCCUUGAUAUAGUACCUGGGUAUCACUGCUGGUUAUUCAGGGCCCAAGGGCUCUUCAGUUAGCAGGUGAUGAAUGCUGACAGGACUGGGUCCUUUCCUUCAGGGCAGUGGAUUCCCUUCUGGUCUAGGGUGUGUCUGAUUUUUGGCUCUUACGAAGGCUGUUUUUUCUGUGUAGGUAGUUGUUAACUUGGCAUCCUUGUGUGAGGGGACGAUUGAUUGGUGGAGAUUUCUAUUCUGCCACCUUGCUCUGCCUCUCCUGCUUCUAUCAGAUUUUGGCCAUUCUGUGGGUAGUGGUAUUUCAUUGUUGAGCAUAUUUUGCAAUAUGCUAAGCAUAUUUUUGUGUGCUUAUUUGCUAUCUGGGUAUCUUCUUGGGUGAGUUGUCCAGAUCUUUUGCCCAUUUUAAAGUUGGGCUGUUUGUUUUUUAUUGUUAAGAGUUCUUUUUAAAUUUUAGAGAGCAGUUCUUUAUCAGGUAUGUCUUUUGCAAUUAUUUUCUCCCACUCUAUGGCUUGAUUUUGGUUCUCUUGAUGCUUGUAAUAUUUAAAAUAUCUUCAGCAUCUGCAGUUUCACCUCCCUUCAUUAUUACAGUUGGAUUUUAAUCCUUAGGAGUUUAUCUAUUUGUCAUUCAACAAACAUUAUUCAGCUCGGCUAGGACCGACCACACCCAGUGUGGGCAAGGAUGUGGAGAAACGAGAACCAUCGACCUGCCAGUGGAAAUGUAAGCUGGAAAAGGUGCUUUGUAAAAUCAUUUCUCAUGAUCUAUUAGAGGGAAGGAUGCAUGCCCUAUGGCUCUGCAAUUCCGCUUCUAGGGGAAAGAAAACCACAGAACGGGGGCACGUGUCCACCGAGAGACAGGCACGCAGAUAUUCAGAGGGGCAUUGUUUAUAACGCCCCCAAACUGGACACAAUCCAAAUGUCCAGCAGGAGUAGAAGGGACAAAUUGCAAUCUAUCCAUGUCAUGGAAAACUUUACAGCAAUGGAAAAGAAGAAACCAUGCUUAAUACCACACAGAUACUCCCACAAACAGAAAGUUGAAGCCAGGCGUGGUGGCUCACACCUGUAAUCCCAGCACUUUGGGAGGCCGAAGCGGGCGGAUCACGAGGUCAGGAGAUGGAGACCAUCCCGGCUAACAUGGUGAAACC
rnacentral:lncRNA from 1 species